CAGCUGGGAUGCAGACGGGCUGUGGAAAUCUCAGUUCUAGGAACCGUGCCCUUUCGUCCGGAGGAUCUGAUUUCUUUUAGGCCUUAAGAAUAUACAUAUCUUCACUUAUUUAUGAAAAUCACUAUUAACAUUUAAAUUGGUGGACUUCGAGUAAAGCAAAUUACCCUCCAUAAUGAAGACCUGAAUAGAACAAAAGGACCAACUCUCCUCAGAGUAAGGGAGGAUUCUCCAGCAGACAGCCUUCAGAUUUGAACUGGAACAUCAGCCAUUCUGAGUCUCCAACCUGCUG